rnacentral:rRNA from 1 species
GAUGAACGCUGGCGGCGUGCCUAUCCAUGCCAGUCGCGCGAACAGACGAGGAGCUUGCUCCUCUGACGUUAGCGGCGGACGGGUGAGUAACACGUGGAUAACCUACCUAUAAGACUGGGAUAACUUCGGGAAACCGGAGCUAAUACCGGAUAAUAUAUUGAAUCGCAUGGUUCAAUAGUGAAAGACGGUUUUGCUGUCACUUAUAGAUGGAUCCGCGCCGCAUUAGCUAGUUGGUAAGGUAACGGCUUACCAAGGCAACGAUGCGUAGCCGACCUGAGAGGGUGAUCGGCCACACUGGAACUGAGACACGGUCCAGACUCCUACGGGAGGCAGCAGUAGGGAAUCUUCCGCAAUGGGCGAAAGCCUGACGGAGCAACGCCGCGUGAGUGAUGAAGGUCUUCGGAUCGUAAAACUCUGUUAUUAGGGAAGAACAAAUGUGUAAGUAACUAUGCACGUCUUGACGGUACCUAAUCAAAAAGCCACGGCUAACUACGUG